UCUAUUGUGUCUAGCGAUUAGGACUCCUGGCUUUCACCCAGGAGGCCUGGGUUCGACUCCCUGCGCGGGAG
rnacentral:tRNA from 1 species